rnacentral:rRNA from 1 species
GCUGUGGAGGUGCUGCAUGGUUGUCGUCAAGCUCGUGCCGUGAGGUGUCGGCUUAAGUGCCAUAACGAGCGCAACCCCCGUCCCCAGUUGCCAUCGGGUAGUGCCGGGCACUCUGUGGAUACUGCCACCGCAAGGUGUGAGGAAGGUGGGGAUGACGUCAAAUCAGCACGGCCCUUACGUCCGGGGCUACACACGUGUUACAAUGGGGCAUACAGCGAGUCGGUUCAUGGUGACAUGCGCCCAAUCCUUGAAAGUGUCCCUCAGUUCGGACUGGGGUCUGCCACCCGACCCCACGAAGCUGGAUUCGCU